rnacentral:rRNA from 1 species
UACAGAGGUCCCAAGCGUUGUUCGGAUUCACUGGGCGUAAAGGGUGCGUAGGUGGCUUGGAAAGUUUGAUGUGAAAGCUCAGGGCUCAACCCUGAAAUGGCAUUGAAUACUAUCGAGCUGGAGGUUUGGAGGGGGGACUGGAAUUCUUGGUGUAGCAGUGAAAUGCGUAGAUAUUAAGAGGAACACCAGUGGCGAAGGCGAGUCCCUGGACAACACCUGACACUGAGGCACGAAAGCCGGGGGAGCAAACAGG